GAUGAACGCUAGCUACAGGCUUAACACAUGCAAGUCGAGGGGCAGCGGUAUCGAAAGCUUGCUUUCGGUAGCCGGCGACCGGCGCACGGGUGAGUAACGCGUAUCGAACCUGCCUCAUACUCGGGAAUAGCCUUGCGAAAGUAAGAUUAAUGCCCGGUGUUUUCAGAGUCCCGCAUGAGGCUUUGAACAAAGAUUUAUCGGUAUGAGAUGGCGAUGCGUCCCAUUAGCUUGUUGGCGGGGCAACGGCCCACCAAGGCAUCGAUGGGUAGGGGUUCUGAGAGGAAGGUCCCCCACAUUGGAACUGGGACACGGUCCAAACUCCUACGGGAGGCAGCAGUGAGGCAUAUUGGUCAAUGGGCGGAAGCCUGAACCAGCCAAGUAGCGUGCAGGAAGACGGCCCUCCGGGUUGUAAACUGCUUUUAGUUGGGAAUAAAACGGGGCUCGUGAGCCCCCUUGCAUGUACCAUCAGAAAAAGGACCGGCUAAUUCCGUG
rnacentral:rRNA from 1 species